GUUUGAAGAAGGGGGGACCAUCCUCCAAGGCUAAAUACUCCUGAUUGACCGAUAGUGAACCAGUACUGUGAAGGAAAGGCGAAAAGAACCCCGGUGAGGGGAGUGAAAUAGAACCUGAAACCUUGUACGUACAAGCAGUGGGAGCCUGAAAGGGUGACUGCGUACCUUUUGUAUAAUGGGUCAGCGACUUAUAUUUUGUAGCGAGGUUAACCGAAUAGGGGAGCCGAAGGGAAACCGAGUCUUAACUGGGCGACGAGUUGCAAGGUAUAGACCCGAAACCCGGUGAUCUAGCCAUGGGCAGGUUGAAGGUUGGGUAACACUAACUGGAGGACCGAACCGACUAAUGUUGAAAAAUUAGCGGAUGACUUGUGGCUGGGGGUGAAAGGCCAAUCAAACCGGGAGAUAGCUGGUUCUCCCCGAAAUCUAUUUAGGUAGAGCCUUGAGGUGACACCUUUGGGGGUAGAGCACUGUUUCGGCUAGGGGGCCAUCCCGGCUUACCAACCCGAUGCAAACUACGAAUACCAAAGAGUGAUACUCAGGAGACACACGGCGGGUGCUAACGUCCGUCGUGGAGAGGGAAACAACCCAGACCGCCAGCUAAGGUCCCCAAGUCUAUAUUAAGUGGGAAACGAAGUGGGAAGGC
rnacentral:rRNA from 1 species